CUCCAUUGUCAUGUUACUUCUUGGACAGCAAUACUAUUAUUUUUUGGCUCUUUAUCUCACUAUUAUCAUGGUGAUUGUGCAAGCUUCUUUUUCCUCAUUUAAUCUGCCACUAGCUGACAUGGUUGAUGCAGAUUUACUGAAGUUCAAUUGGCAGUCACCCCUUUCCUCAAUGGUCUUUGGCAUCAAUGCUUUAUUUACCAAACCUGCUCAGUCUUUAGCUCCCAUGAAGAUACUCUCUAG